UAGGUCAUGGCUCAGUGGCACAGCACAUGUUUUGUAUGCAGAAGGUUCUAGGUUCAAUUCCCAGCAACCCCA